AUUGAACGCUGGCGGCAGGCCUAACACAUGCAAGUCGAGCGGAUGAAGGGAGCUUGCUCCUGGAGUCAGCGGCGGACGGGUGAGUAAUGCCUAGGAAUCUGCCUGGUAGUGGGGGAUAACGUCCGGAAACGGGCGCUAAUACCGCAUACGUCCUGAGGGAGAAAGUGGGGGAUCUUCGGACCUCACGCUAUCAGAUGAGCCUAGGUCGGAUUAGCUAGUUGGUGGGGUAAAGGCCUACCAAGGCGACGAUCCGUAACUGGUCUGAGAGGAUGAUCAGUCACACUGGAACUGAGAAACGGUCCAGACUCCUACGGGAGGCAGCAGAGGGGAAUAUUGGACAAUGGGCGAAAGCCUGAUCCAGCCAUGCCGCGUGUGUGAAGAAGGUCUUCGGAUUGUAAAGCACUUUAAGUUGGGAGGAAGGGCAGUAAGUUAAUACCUUGCUGUUUUGACGUUACCAACAGAAUAAGCACCGGCUAACUUCGUG
rnacentral:rRNA from 1 species